CCAAGACUAAUAAGUAGCGCAAAAAUCCAUCUUCAAGAUCUCCAGCAAUAGCGUGGAAUUGAAGUUUAUUCUAACAUCAUGACCAUGACCUUAUUUCUUCAUUUCCGGAAACUAACUCCAUUACAAUGAAAGAGCCUUGUACAUUGAUUAUUGUAAUUAUUCUAGCAGUCGGUGACCACAAGAAGGAUUUAUUAAACAAUGAAUUCAGG